CCUCGGAGAGUUUGAUCCUGGCUCAGGACGAACGCUGGCGGCGUGCCUAAUACAUGCAAGUCGAGCGGACAGAAGGGAG
rnacentral:rRNA from 5 species